AUUGAACGCUGGCGGCAUGCCUUACACAUGCAAGUCGAACGGUAACGGGCCUUCGGGUGCCGCCGAGUGGCGGACGGGUGAGUAAUACAUCGGAACGUGCCCGAUCGUGGGGGAUAACGAGGCGAAAGCUUUGCUAAUACCGCAUACGAGCUACGGAUGACAGCAGGGGACCGCAAGGCCUUGCGGGGACGGGGCGGCCGAUGGCAGAUUAGGUAGUUGGUGGGAUAAAAGCUUACCAAGCCGACGAUCUGUAGCUGGUCUGAGAGGAUGAUCAGCCACACUGGGACUGAGACACGGCCCAGACUCCUACGGGAGGCAGCAGUGGGGAAUUUUGGACAAUGGGCGCAAGCCUGAUCCAGCCAUGCCGCGUGCAGGAUGAAGGCCUUCGGGUUGUAAACUGCUUUUGUACGGAACGAAAAGCCUUCUUUUAAUACAGGAGGGUCAUGACGGUACCGUAAGAAUAAGCACCGGCUAACUACGUG
rnacentral:rRNA from 1 species